UACGUAGGGUGCAAGCGUUAAUCGGAAUUACUGGGCGUAAAGCGUACGCAGGCGGCUUUGCAAGACAGGUGUGAAAUCCCCGGGCCUAACCUGGGAACUGCAUUUGUGACUGCAUGGCUAGAGUUUGUCAGAGGGGGGUGGAAUUCCACGUGUAGCAGUGAAAUGCGUAGAUAUGUGGAGGAACACCGGUGGCGAAGGCGGGUCUCUGGGCCGAUAUUGACGCUGAGGAGCGAAAGCGUGGGGAGCAAACAGG
rnacentral:rRNA from 1 species